rnacentral:rRNA from 1 species
CCUACGGGUGGCAGCAGUGAGGAAUAUUGGUCAAUGGCCGGAAGGCUGAACCAGCCAAGUCGCGUGAGGGAGGACUGCCCUAUGGGUUGUAAACCUCUUUUAUAUGGGGAGAAAACAUGGUAUGCGUACCCUCGUGCCUGUACCAUAUGAAUAAGCAUCGGCUAACUCCGUGCCAGCAGCCGCGGUAAUACGGAGGAUGCGAGCGUUAUCCGGAUUUAUUGGGUUUAAAGGGUGCGAAGGCGGUGGUUUAAGCUGGUGGUGAAAUGUUGGGGCUAAACCUAGAAUUGCCGUUGAAACUGGCAGACUUGAGUACAGAGGAGGUAGGCGGAAUUCGCGGUGUAGCGGUGAAAUGCUUAGAUAUCACGAAGAACUCCGAUUGCGAAGGCAGCUUACCGGACUGCGACUGACGCUGAGGCACGAGAGCGUGGGUAUCGAACAGGAUUAGAUACCCCAGUAGUC